UCUGUUGAGGUGGCUUUGUAUACAUAACAUACAGAAAAGGAGAUGAAUGUGGAGAAUGCACAUUUGCAGUGUGCUAAAUGUACAGUGAACUUUUGGAGAAAGUAUCAUCAGAAAGACAAGUGGGGGUUAAAUUCCUCGCUCAAGUUAACAGUGUUUAUUAAGGGAAAGAUUUUGCUCAGGAUUCAAACCUGUGACUUUCGGAUGAUGAGCAGAAUGAGUUCCCGGACCUUCAGGUAACAAACGCCACAACGGACCUAUUUAUCCAGGAAAUCUUUCAUUUUUGUAAAGUUAAAAGGCUGAGUGUCACCCAUUCACCUUUUAAUCCUCCUGUAAUCUAUCUCGAUAAAUAAAGGAUUAGAUUUCACACUUUCUGUGUUUGGCAGAGCCACGUGUGAAUGUCUAAAACCUUUGCUCAAAUUUCAAGUGCACAAGAAGAAUCCAAGGAAGAGGUUUGUUUUCAAAUGAAAAUUACCAGGAAAUAAGUAUAACAAAGGUGAGGGGGUUCAGAUGAAUGCAACAGCACAAAGGACUGUCUGUAUAUCACCUCUGAUGUCAGAAUGAUGUAAGUGUGCAGCUCUGAAUAUAUUCUAAAACAUUGCCUUUGCACAAUAACUUCCCCAUGUUGCCAAAUCGCUCAGCUUGCUCACAGCGAGCCAGGCCUCUCUGAACGAUGGUGCAACCCACUUUAGGAUUUCCAUAGAAAAUAUGUCUUCACUAUUCAGGAGAAUCAAAUGUGAUGAAUGCAUUAAGGAAAAUGAACUGUGACACAAAAACAAUUUACAGACUAGUGAGUGAGAUAUAGCAGGUCUAGACGUGUUUCUGCAAGAAGGAUUCACAGAAAUGUUACCAAUAAUGUGUGGUCUCAUCUAUUCAAGCAGAAUUUAUUGUUUUCAAACAGCACAUGUUCAACAUUUGGACCAAUUAUGGGAGGUUUGCUGUUGUACUGUACUUUUUAAGAUUUAAGAUAUUAAUAUAAAAUAGAUAUUUAAAAAGUUUUAAAUGUAUUUGAAUUGAAACAAAUUGCAGUUAAAAUAGAUUUACAGGGCCUUAUUGUGUUUUUACUUUCACAGGUCAAACUUUUGAAGUAUAAAAGAACCCACAAAUUGCAUCUCCAACUUGUGCCUGAACAUUUUCCGAUACACUACAUGGCUAAAAGCUUUUGACAAGAUAUUGGAGCCUGGCAGCAGGGAUUUGCUCUCAUUCAGCCACAAGAGCAUUACUGAGGCCCGACACUGAUGUUGAGCGAUAAAGUCUGGCUCACAGUCGGCAUUCUGGUUCAUCCCAAAGGCGUUGGAUGGGAUUGAGGUCAGGGCUCUGCGCAGGCCAGUAAAGUUCUUCCUGGGAAAACCCAUUUCUUUAUGGACUUGUCUUACGGACGCACUGUCAUGUUGAAAAUAGAAAAAGAUCUUCCCCAAACUGUAUAUGGACAGGGGUCCAUAUGUUAUUGGCCAUAUAGUGUAUGUUGAAGGAUUACAUGCUGUGGUUGAGAAAGUUCUACAUCUUGGGCCAAUAAAAUCCUUACACAACCAACUGGAUUAUCAAAAAAAAAAUGCAUUUCUAUCAAGCUUAAAAUGAGACUUACCUGAAUUUACCUGGCUGCAGCCAAAUGUUCAACACCUGAGACUUUAAUUACCCAUCUUUUGUCAAUACACAGAUGAAACCUCAAACUUGACUUCUUAAGCCCUGAUUUCCCCUAAAAUUUCCCUGUAAGUAUGUUUUAAGUUACAAAGAACAAGUGUUCACACUAUAAUCAAGUAUUAUAUAAGCAGAACUGUGUGUAACUGGUGUUCCUGCUGAUUGAGGCAAUGUGACGCUGACAUUCAGUGAAAUAUUCAAGCCCAAAAUGCCUAAAUUUCCUAACAAUCAAACAAACAAUCGCAAAUAUUCUACAUGUUUGUGCAUCAUUUCAUAUAACUUUGGUCAAAGGCGAGACUGCUUUGUAUCUUUGGGAAGUUUGGAAUCAUGAUUAGAGCUAAAAUAAUGUUCUGUGGGUUUAAACAAUGCUUCAAACACACAAUAAUGAUUAUUAAGGAAGGGACGCAGACUGUCAAACACUAUAGCUUGACUUGAAAGACAAAAUAUAAAGGAGAAAGAAAAUAUACUACUAUUAACAUUCUGUGCCUGCACUGUUGUAAGCUGAUAUUGUGCAAAAGAGCUUGAAUAUUGCAAUUCAGUGAACUCACAGCCGACGUAUCUUAUCUUUUAAAACAUCGGCACCAUCUGGUGGCUGAAGUGCAUCCUCCUCACCAGUGGACAUAUUCUAGGUAGUAUGAGAAAAUCAGUUUAUCAGUACAUGACGGUACAUCGUGUUUUCUUCCAUUUAUCAACUUCUGGCCAGCUUGAUCCUCUUGCUCUUUCAUUGGUCAGGAGAACUGCUGUGUGGUAUUUUGUUUAUUGAGAAAGUAACUGAAUGAUGUACAUUACAUAAGAGCCAAUCAGCAAACUUCAACAGGAACUGUCGCUAACAAAGUUGGAGUUGAUUUCGUCAGGUCAGCCGAUCAGUAGCGGCCUAGAAAAGUGGAAAUCUGACCAAUGAGAGGAUUGUAUUUAGACAUAUUUUGGCAAAAGUUAAAAAGUUUGGAAUUAGUUUGAAACCUUUCUACGGACAGGUAGUCCACAGUCCUCAUUUUCUUUGAUGGAGCAAACUACAAACCUUUUACAAUCACCUUUCAUUUCUACACAGAGUGUCUCAUAAUCAAAAGGUUUUGGGUGGAGAACCACUUCAACGGUGAACUGUGUUAAGGACAAAAGACACAGGAGCCAUUUAAGUUUGUGAUCACAUGAGCACUUUGUUAUUUAACAUCCAUAGUAGUUUGAUAAUGUCAUACGUAUACGUCAUAUAGCCUGGACACAGAGAGAAGAGCAGUGUCACUGAUGCUGAAGGUAUUUACAGGCAGGAGGAGGCAGCCAGGGAGAGAGAAAGCAGAUAAAAC